GGAUGAGCCUCCGUCUUCAAAGCCUCUCCAAACUCACUAGUUUCAGCAUCAGAGAAAAACAGGAUCAGUAUCCAGUCCAUGUUCUGCUCCAGGACUCUUCUGCCUUCUCGUUUGCGGAGGUCAUUGGACUCCCCUCCUCAAAUCUCCUAAUUGCUCCUCCGGCCGCUCCUCCAGCUGCUUCUUUGGCCGGUUCUCUGAAUCCACUUAUCUGGAUUAGUUGUCUGGACACCCCUUUCUACCAUUAUCACUCACCUGCCAGUCCACCCUCAACACUAAUCAUCAUCUUCCCCUGGAAGAAAAGACAAGGAUAAGUAUCGACCUGCACUGCUCACUACAACCUGUAAAACAAAAUUUUGUAUUUUACAUCUCAACAACAACAACACUUCCACUUCUUUUCCAACUUUUUUAUCAAUUAUCAGACAUCACUUCUUUCAGUAACCACUUCCCUCUCCUCCUAAGUGCCAUCCUGGAAUCUUCCCCCAAGACCAGAAGAAACAUUCAUUAUUCACGUGUGUCAAUAAAGAGUUGAAACUUUUCUCUGUUGUCUGUAGUUGCUGUCGGCACGAAGGUCUUACCAACAGACAUCAUGACAAUCUGUCUUUUUAUACCCCACUCGUGUAUACGGUCGUAAAAAUUGAGCUUUGCGUGGACAUGUCCAGCAGAUGUCCUUUUUGAGUACUUGACUCCACAGACGUAUGCGCGUACAUCUGUGGAGUCAAGUACUCCUGACUAUGUUUUGCCUUUAACAGUCUGUACUCCAGGCUGACUUGUGAUAACCUGAAUCUUUGAUUAAGGGUGAUGGAAGUUAAAAUCAAAGGCUUUAGCUCUGAGACUUCUGAUCACAUGAGGAUAUCUUUUUGGAACAGAAACAAAGCAUGUUUCUUGAUACUUUACCAGCAUAAAGAUAAAACUCAACAGAUAUAUAAUUGCAAGAGUGUCAUCUAAGAAGAACAUGGAGGCCAAACAAAGGUUUGCCAGAGAAACGUAGACCAAGACCAGGCCCUGUGGAAUAAUAUUCAUUGGUCAGAAGAGUAAAAAAACUUCAUUAUUUAGAGACCAGAUCACAUGAUGUGUUUGGCGUAAUCUAAACACAGCAUUCCAGGCAAAUAAUCACAUACCAAUUGUGAAGCAUGGAGGUGGAGGUAUUGUGGUUUGGGAAUGCUUUGAUGCAGCAGGACCUAACCAACUCAACAAAAUUUAAUUCUAAAUUUUACUGUGUAGUCGAAGGAAUCCAGAGGAAAAUGUGAGACAAUCUGUUGGAAGGAAGCACAGGAUAUAGGGUAGAUGUAGACGAAUCAGCAACAUAGGCCAUCACUGGUAUUAAACAGUGUGUGAUGAAAGUGGACUGGAAAAUAUGCUGUUACUACCAACAUGGCUGUGGUUGGGUGUUGGUCAUUUAGCCUAUGCAACUGUUGUACUUUUGGUAAAGGACAAUAAAAAAAAUGUUUAUGGUCAAAA